rnacentral:rRNA from 1 species
AGUGGCGGACGGGUGAGUAACACGUGAGCAACCUGCCUCUGAGAGAGGGAUACGCUUCUGGAAACGGAUGGUAAUACCUCAUAACAUUACAUGACCGCAUGAUCGUGUAAUCAAAGAUUUAUCACUCAGAGAUGGGCUCGCGUCUGAUUAGCUAGUUGGUGAGGUAACGGCCCACCAAGGCGACGAUCAGUAGCCGGACUGAGAGGUUGAACGGCCACAUUGGGACUGAGACACGGCCCAGACUCCUACGGGAGGCAGCAGUGAGGGAUAUUGCACAAUGGAGGAAACUCCUGAUGCAGCGAUGCCGCGUGGAGGAAGAAGGUUUUCGGAUUGUAAACUCCUGUUUCGAGGGACGAUAAUGACGGUACCUCGGGAGGAAGCUCCGGCUAACUACGUGCCAGCCGCCGC